UGAUAGUACCAGAAGAGGAAGAGACGGCUAACUCUGUGCCAGCAGCCGCGGUAAUACAGAGGUCUCAAGCGUUGUUCGGAUUCAUUGGGCGUAAAGGGUGCGUAGGCGGCGCGGUAAGUCGGGUGUGAAAUCUCGGGGCUUAACUCCGAAACUGCAUUCGAUACUGCCGUGCUUGAGGACUGGAGAGGAGACAGGAAUUUACGGUGUAGCGGUGAAAUGCGUAGAUAUCGUAAGGAAGACCAGUGGCGAAGGCGGGUCUCUGGACAGUUCCCGACGCUGAGGCACGAAGGCCAGGGGAGCAAACGGGAUUAGAUACCCCGGUAGUCCUGGCAGUAAACGGUGCACGUUUGGUGUGGGAGGAUUCGACCCCUUCUGCGCCGGAGCUAACGCGUUAAACGUGCCGCCUGGGGAGUACGGUCGCAAGAUUAAAACUCAAAGAAAUUGACGGGGGCCCGCACAAGCGGUGGAGUAUGUGGCUUAAUUCGAUGCAACGCGAAGAACCUUACCUGGCCUUGACAUGCAUCUCUAAGCGCGUGAAAGCGCGUGAGUCCCGAAA
rnacentral:rRNA from 1 species